rnacentral:rRNA from 1 species
CCUACGGGUGGCAGCAGUGGGGAAUAUUGCACAAUGGGGGGAACCCUGAUGCAGCAACGCCGCGUGGGUGAAGAAGUACUCCGGUAUGUAAAGCCCUGUCAGCAGGGAAGAAAAUGACGGUACCUGACCAAGAAGCCCCGGCUAACUACGUGCCAGCAGCCGCGGUAAUACGUAGGGGGCAAGCGUUAUCCGGAUUUACUGGGUGUAAAGGGAGCGUAGACGGCAAGGCAAGUCUGGAGUGAAAGCCCGUGGCCCAACCACGGGACUGCUUUGGAAACUGUGUUGCUGGAGUGAUGGAGAGGCAGGCGGAAUUCCCGGUGUAGCGGUGGAAUGCGUAGAUAUCGGGAGGAACACCAGUGGCGAAGGCGGCCUGCUGGACAUUAACUGACGCUGAGGCGCGAAAGCGUGGGGAGCAAACAGGAUUAGAUACCCUAGUAGUC